rnacentral:lncRNA from 1 species
AUGCUGGGAAUACCAACUAACACUUGUUACAGAGUGUGCAUGGCGGCUGCUGACAGGCCUUCCCAGUGCCAGCAAGUGGAUACAGAAGCAAUCUCCCAAGCUUUCCAUGACAUUCAAGUGACCAGGCACUUGGACACCCAUCACUGGGGCUGUGUUCCUACCUUAGCCAGUGCCCACAAGCAGCAGCGGUUCCUCUGGCGUUUUGACCCUGAAACAAUGAGCAGAGAAGAGAUGCUGUUUCAAAAUGGGAAAAGCCAGUGGGUAUCUAGGGGAAUUCCGGGCAGAGGUAAGAGGAGGCAGGUCCCCAUACUAGAACAUUCAGUAUGAUGCCGGGAAGUGGGAGGGCGUGCAAGAGAGAAUGAGGUCACGUCAGGGCCCAUGAUUCCCACAGCAGCCCUGGCCCUGGUGACUUGGUACCACAGAAGAAUGCUGCCGGUCCCACAGCACGUAGGAAUGGUCCAUAGAACUCGGUUUCUGUGUUGCAACCUGGGUUGUGAUGACGUGUUCAAGCUUUGUCCCCAAGCAUGUGAGGACCCCAUUCCACAGGCUGCUGGGGAUGGGGAGUAAGCAGAGUCAGCAUGGGCUAGGGCCAUAGGGACUGGUACGACUGGGAAUGACUCUUUGGGAGAUCCUGCCCAAGGAAGAGACCCAGCCAUCCUAACUCCCAGGUAAGACUGGCUUUCAUUGGCCUGGCACCAGCAGCCAGCUCAUCCACUUUGAGGACUGAGGGUACAGUAAUGAUAUCUCUGAGUGAUGGUGAUAGCCAGCAUCCAUGGUUAGUAGCCUUUUGAAUCCAGGGUGGAUAUAUUUGGAAUGAAACAAUGUUACCAACUAAUGACUGCUAGGUUGAGGGACAG